UCCUACGGGAGGCAGCAGUAGGGAAUCUUCCGCAAUGGACGAAAGUCUGACGGAGCAACGCCGCGUGAGUGAUGAAGGCUUUCGGGUCGUAAAACUCUGUUGUUAGGGAAGAACAAGUGCUAGUUGAAUAAGCUGGCACCUUGACGGUACCUAACCAGAAAGCCACGGCUAACUACGUGCCAGCAGCCGCGGUAAUACGUAGGUGGCAAGCGUUAUCCGGAAUUAUUGGGCGUAAAGCGCGCGCAGGUGGUUUCUUAAGUCUGAUGUGAAAGCCCACGGCUCAACCGUGGAGGGUCAUUGGAAACUGGGAGACUUGAGUGCAGAAGAGGAAAGUGGAAUUCCAUGUGUAGCGGUGAAAUGCGUAGAGAUAUGGAGGAACACCAGUGGCGAAGGCGACUUUCUGGUCUGUAACUGACACUGAGGCGCGAAAGCGUGGGGAGCAAACAGGAUUAGAUACCCUGGUAGUCCACGCCGUAAACGAUGAUAACUAGUUGUUUGCAAUAGACCGUAAGCGACAAAGCGAAAGCAUUAAGUUAUCCACCUGGGGAGUACGUUGGCAACAAUGAAACUCAAAUGAAUU
rnacentral:rRNA from 1 species